UCCAGACUCCUACGGGAGGCAGCAGUGGGGAAUAUUGCACAAUGGGGGAAACCCUGAUGCAGCGACGCCGCGUGGGCGACGAAGCGCUCCGGCGCGUAAAGCCCUGUCAGCAGGGAAGAACAAAGACAGUACCUAACCAAGAAGCCCCGGCUAACUACGUGCCAGCAGCCGCGGUAAUACGUAGGGGGCAAGCGUUAUCCGGAUUUACUGGGUGUAAAGGGGGCGCAGACGGCGAUGCAAGCCAGGAGUGAAAGCCCGGGGCCCAACCCCGGGACUGCUCUUGGAACUGCGUGGCUGGAGUGCAGGAGGGGCAGGCGGAAUUCCUGGUGUAGCGGUGAAAUGCGUAGAUAUUAGGAGGAACACCAGUGGCGAAGGCGGCUUACUGGACUGUAACUGACGUUGAGGCUCGAAAGCGUGGGGAGCAAACAGGAUUAGAUACCCCCGUAC
rnacentral:rRNA from 1 species